AGUGAACGCUGGCGGUAGGCCUAACACAUGCAAGUCGAACGGCAGCACAGUAAGAGCUUGCUCUUACGGGUGGCGAGUGGCGGACGGGUGAGGAAUACAUCGGAAUCUACUUUUUCGUGGGGGAUAACGUAGGGAAACUUACGCUAAUACCGCAUACGACCUACGGGUGAAAGCAGGGGAUCUUCGGACCUUGCGCGAUUGAAUGAGCCGAUGUCGGAUUAGCUAGUUGGCGGGGUAAAGGCCCACCAAGGCGACGAUCCGUAGCUGGUCUGAGAGGAUGAUCAGCCACACUGGAACUGAGACACGGUCCAGACUCCUAAGGGAGGCAGCAGUGGGGAAUAUUGGACAAUGGGAGCAAGACAGAUCCAGCCAUACCGCGUGGGUGAAGAAGGCCUUCGGGUUGUAAAGCCCUUUUGUUGGGAAAGAAAAGCAGCAGGUUAAUACCCCGCUGUUCUGACGGUACCAAAAGAAUAAGCACCGGCUAACUUCGUG
rnacentral:rRNA from 1 species